rnacentral:rRNA from 1 species
UACGAAGGGGGCUAGCGUUGCUCGGAAUCACUGGGCGUAAAGCGCACGUAGGCGGAUCGCUAAGUCAGGGGUGAAAUCCUGGAGCUCAACUCCAGAACUGCCUUUGAUACUGGCAAUCUCGAGUCCGGGAGAGGUGAGUGGAACUGCGAAGUGUAGAGGUGAAAUUCGUAGAUAUUCGCAAGAACACCAGUGGCGAAGGCGGCUCACUGGCCCGGUACUGACGCUGAGGUGCGAAAGCGUGGGGAGCAAACAGG